rnacentral:snoRNA from 1 species
UACAACCCCAAUAUAUUAAGCCUAUACUUGUUUCUGUCCAUUACAUGAGAGUUAUUGAAAAAAUCUAUCCCAUGUACACCAGGCCCUGUGCCUGGUCUGUAUUGUGAAUGGGGGAACAUGG